AAGACCUUGCGCUUUUGGAGCGGCCGAUGUCUGAUUAGCUAGUUGGUGGGGUAAUGGCCUACCAAAGCUUCGAUCAGUAGCUGGUCUGAGAGGACGACCAGCCACACUGGGACUGAGACACGGCCCAGACUCCUACGGGAGGCAGCAGUGGGGAAUUUUGGACAAUGGGGGCAACCCUGAUCCAGCCAUGCCGCGUGAGUGAAGAAGGCCUUCGGGUUGUAAAGCUCUUUCAGCCGGAACGAAACGGUUACGGUUAAUACCCGUGAUUACUGACGGUACCGGAAGAAGAAGCACCGGCUAACUACGUGCCAGCAGCCGCGGUAAUACGUAGGGUGCGAGCGUUAAUCGGAAUUACUGGGCGUAAAGCGUGCGCAGGUGGUUUUGUAAGUCAGAUGUGAAAGCCCCGGGCUCAACCUGGGAACU
rnacentral:rRNA from 1 species